rnacentral:rRNA from 1 species
GACGAACGCUGGCGGCGUGCCUAAUACAUGCAAGUAGAACGCUGAAGGAGGAGCUUGCUCUUCUGGAUGAGUUGCGAACGGGUGAGUAACGCGUAGGUAACCUGCCUGGUAGCGGGGGAUAACUAUUGGAAACGAUAGCUAAUACCGCAUAAGAGUAGAUGUUGCAUGACAUUUGCUUAAAAGGUGCAAUUGCAUCACUACCAGAUGGACCUGCGUUGUAUUAGCUAGUUGGUGGGGUAACGGCUCACCAAGGCGACGAUACAUAGCCGACCUGAGAGGGUGAGCGGCCACACUGGGAAUGAGACACGGCCCAGACUCCUACGGGAGGGAGCAGUAGGGAAUCUUCGGCAAUGGACGGAAGUCUGACCGAGCAACGCCGCGUGAGUGAAGAAGGGUUUCGGAUCGUAAAGCUCUGUUGUAAGAGAAGAACGAGUGUGAGAGUGGAAAGUUCACACUGUGACGGUAACUUACCAGAAAGGGACGGCUAACUACGUG